rnacentral:rRNA from 1 species
AUGGAGCCGACCUUGAAAUACCACCCUUUAAUGUUUGAUGUUCUAACGUUGACCCGUAAUCCGGGUUGCGGACAGUGUCUGGUGGGUAGUUUGACUGGGGCGGUCUCCUCCUAAAGAGUAACGGAGGAGCACGAAGGUUGGCUAAUCCUGGUCGGACAUCAGGAGGUUAGUGCAAUGGCAUAAGCCAGCUUGACUGCGAGCGUGACGGCGCGAGCAGGUGCGAAAGCAGGUCAUAGUGAUCCGGUGGUUCUGAAUGGAAGGGCCAUCGCUCAACGGAUAAAAGGUACUCCGGGGAUAACAGGCUGAUACCGCCCAAGAGUUCAUAUCGACGGCGGUGUUUGGCACCUCGAUGUCGGCUCAUCACAUCCUGGGGCUGAAGUAGGUCCCAAGGGUAUGGCUGUUCGCCAUUUAAAGUGGUACGCGAGCUGGGUUUAGAACGUCGUGAGACAGUUCGGUCCCUAUCUGCCGUGGGCGCUGGAGAACUGAGGGGGGCUGCUCCUAGUACGAGAGGACCGGAGUGGACGCAUCACUGGUGUUCGGGUUGUCAUGCCAAUGGCACUGCCCGGUAGCUAAAUGCGGAAGAGAUAAGUGCUGAAAGCAUCUAAGCACGAAACUUGCCCCGAGAUGAGUUCUCCCUGACUCCUUGAGAGUCCUGAAGGAACGUUGAAGACGACGACGUUGAUAGGCCGGGUGUGUAAGCGCAGUGAUGCGUUGAGCUAACCGGUACUAAUGAACCGUGAGGCUUAACCUUACAACGCCGAAGGUGUUU